UACGGAGGGGGCUAGCGUUGUUCGGAAUUACUGGGCGUAAAGCUGCACGUAGGCGGGCUUUGUAAGUUAGAGGUGAAAGCCCAGGGCUCAACCCUGGAAUUUGACCUUUUAAGACUGCAUCGCUUGAACAUCGGAGAGGUAAGUGGAAUUCCGAGUGAUAGAGGUGAAAUUCGUAGAUAUUCGGAAGAACACCAGUGGCGAAGGCGAACUUACUGGACGAUUUGUUGACGCUGAGACGCGAAAGCUAGGGGAGCGAA
rnacentral:rRNA from 1 species